rnacentral:rRNA from 1 species
CCACGGGAGGCUGCAGUGGGGGAUAUUGGACAAUGGGGGGGAACCCUGAUCCAGCGACGCCGCGUGAGUGAAGAAGUAUUUCGGUAUGUAAAGCUCUGUCAGCAGGGAAGAAAGCAAUGACGGUACCUGACCAAGAAGCCCCGGCUAACUACGUGCCAGCAGCCGCGGUAAUACGUAGGGGGCAAGCGUUAUCCGGAAUUACUGGGUGUAAAGGGAGCGUAGACGGCUGUGCAAGUCUGGAGUGAAAGGCGGGGGCCCAACCCCCGGACUGCUCUGGAAACUGUAUGGCUGGAGUGCAGGAGAGGUAAGCGGAAUUCCUAGUGUAGCGGUGAAAUGCGUAGAUAUUAGGAGGAACACCAGUGGCGAAGGCGGCUUACUGGACUGUAACUGACGUUGAGGCUCGAAAGCGUGGGGAGCAAACAGGAUUAGAUACCCCUGUAGUC